CCGUAGCGGUAAAUGCAUCGCGGCGUCUAAGCUCUGCGACAAUAAGUUCAUGGACUGCGACCAAGGAGAAGACGACUACUGCCACCGUCUGCACCGGUGUACUGGUAACAAGUCAUUCAAGUGUGACUACGGCAUGUGUGUGGAGAACACAGCUGUGUGUGACGGCAUUUAUAACAUCGAACAGGCCAUUCAAGUACGGCAACGGAGAGUGCAUCACUAUGGAUACGAUUUUGAGUUGGCGGUUCAGCCUUCGAGGCUUUGUCGGGUUGUGGACGCGGUCUGAAGAAGACAGUCCACGAGGCUGGCACGGCUGGGUCCCAGGGGAGCACUUGUCGGUUAUCUCGGUGUGCUCGCCUUUCUUUUGAUCUAACUUGGAAGCAAUAAGAGUCCGAGCAGCGGUGUCAGAUCGGACAGCGCAGCGUGAUGUGCAGGUGCCAUUCGAGGGCCGCAGCGAUCUUAAGGAGAUUCAAGCUGAGGAUGAUUAAACGAACGGGCGGAUUAUGAGGCGGCGGUCAGCUUUGACACGUCAAACAUACGCUGACGCCUGGGUGGACCAGAACACAAGUCUGAAAAAGAAGACGUUCCUUGUGUUUAGACGUGCGAGUAAUUCUGGACACUAUCCAGCUGUGUAUAUGUUGUUUGUAAUAUUCCUUAUGAAAAAUUUAAAGCCUGAAACAAACACUUUAUAAGUAUUCUUCAAGUAUAUGAAUGGAACAUAGAGCCUAUUUCUUGGGUGAGUCAUGGCAUGUCCUUAGCUGUGACCAGCGAAAGCAGAGAGCACAGCAAUACUAAACUGAUUUUAUCAUUUACACAGCUUUUAAACGGAUUUAGUGGUUGUGCGGUGACUUAUGGAUAAUACAAUUAAGUGAAGUUGAAGUUAGUGCGUUGAAUCUUGAUUUUUGAUUGUAAGCUUGGUUAGUUCGUGCUAUUCAUUUUCUAACGCUAGGUUGAGUUACCUAGAGGCACCGGUUUAAAUUACUGAUAUUGCCGAUUAGAGAUCUAAAGAUUUCAUGCGUAUCUUAUUAAAAAACUAGGCGAGGUGUGUUCUAUAUUUGCUCGCCACUUAAUGAUUACUUUCUAGAUUUUCCAGAAACCAGAUAGGUGUUCUAUAUUUGCUCGCCACUUAAUGAUUACCUUUGUACGUACUUAUUAACUUUGUUGAAGUUAUUAACUAAAAUUGUUUUAGUGUUAGACUUUUUUGUUUGAUUCACUUGAGGAAGUCAGUAGGUGGUAAACAGUGUGAACUGAAUUACAAAACCGAAUAUUGAGGAGAGUUUAAGUCGGCGUAGUUGUAAUUUUAUUAUUUUAAUAAUGAUUUAUUUAACAAUAAACAGUCCUUGCCUUUUUCUUGCCGUGAUAUUUUCUUGCUUUCCAAUACCGCGAUGAACUGGACUGUGGCAGUGUGAUGAUCAAUAACGUAUUUAUUUUUGUUUCCGGUAUAUGCUUAAUUAAAAUUUGAUAUAAAUUACGUGAUUCUGCGCCAUUCUUAAGUCGCUGUCAUAUAUAAUAUGUGUAAUAUGUGAUAUAUUAAAUUUUGUAUAGUGUCAUUGAACACUUGCCAAAAAUUACCACCACAUCCGCCGCCCGGGUGGGCGAGAACACAAGCCUGAACAGACGACGAUCCUUGUGUGUAGACGUUCGAGUAUGCUAGUAACUGUCCAGCUGUGUAUAUGAAAUGGUUGUAACAUUCUCAAUGAGAAUAUCAAUGCCCGAGAAAAACAUUUUGUAUUGAUACUGUAGGUAUAUAAAUGCAAUACAAAGGCCUUUUUUUAUUCAGCUGUUCAUUGUGUAUCGUUAGUUAUGACCAGCAAAAGCAGUGAGCUAGCAACGCACUAGUGCAUCCUGAUAUAUAGUUAAGUUUUGCUUUUUAACUGAUUUUGUGGUUGUGCGGUGAUUUUGGAUAGCAUAAUUAAGUGAAGUUAGUUUGUUGAAUAUUGAUUUUUCAUUGCAAACUUAGUUAAUAUGUGAUCUUAAUUUUGUCACGCUAGGGUAAGUUACCUAGAGGCGCUGGUUAAACGUGUAUAUAAUAUACGUAUUAUAUAACGUAUAAUAUACCGUGUAAAUGUUAUGCUGUACACAUUUGAAGGUAAUGUUGUAAAUGUUGUGUGAUUUCUGGUAAAACUUUUCCGCCCCUUGUGGGUGAUAAAUGAAUUUUUAGAUUUAGGAAAACUUUCU